UUUCUUCCUCGACAGUGGUGUAGAAGGAGAGGAGCACCGGCGUCCACACCGGGGAGGUCGAAGGGGAGGCGGUAGAUUGGAGGAGCCCAGCGAGCCGGUCGGCCGGCGCCAUACAGAAGCAGCGCUGCCGUCUCCUUUCCCCCACUUUUUUAGGAGCUGGAUCUGAGGUGGCCAACCGCCGCUGUCGCCGCCGCCCCGUCGGGAAAAGGCCGCCAUGUAGAUCACGCAGCAGGCCGGUCCACCCGCUAAAAUCUGUUGAUUUUGCCCUUCGUUGUAUCUUCUGCACCAUCUGCUUCUCUAUUCACCCGCCAAACAAAUGAGUAUGUGCCAUGCUUUGCAGGAAAUUCAUUGAACAUAUGUACCUCUUCUCCUGAAGCCGAUGCUGCCAUGCCUAUGAAUCGGAUAUGACCGAUGCUUUGUCAAGGGCUCAUAUGAGAGAAGAAAAGGAGGCUGGAGAUGCAGAGAAAGAAGCUCUAAGCUCAACAAAGGCAUCAGGUUAAUUUUGCUUCAAUUCUUAGGGCCAACUUAUUGUACUAUGUAAUCUAUCUAGUUAGUUACCAGAAGAUUUGCAAUAAAUAAAUAGCUGCCUGGUUCUCAAUAGGUUUGUAGCAUAGUGCCAAUUAUGUGCAACAAUACAUGUUGAGAAGACAAUCAAAUGGAAUUUAAAUACAAUAUUUUUCAAAUGCGUUCUUUGCCAGGAAAGCAGAGAGGGAGAGAGAGGGGAGCAGUAGAUGAACUAAAUGGGUUGGUUGUGUUGGGUUGCAAGCCACGAACUGAGCAUCACAAACAUCCUGUACUAACCUAGAACUAUAAUUGGUAUAUGGAUAAUAGUAUGCAGAGUUGGCCGCCGAAGCAGUAGGAGUUGUCCAGCACUGCUGCUUUAGUUGGACGGAAAAGCAGUCCUAGUUGCGCACCCAAUUUUCUUGGGUGUCUCUGUGGCAAAAUCAGUAGUACAAGUUGUGCAUAAUACUUGAUGGAGUUGGCGCAGCAAAAUAGUAAAAUUUGAGUGUCAUUUAUAUUAUUUUUUCUAUUUUUGUGGUCGAGUUUUUCUUCUAGAAGCCUGAAAUCUGAAUAUUUCAUUUCCCAAGAGUAUCUAAAUAAUUGGCAUCUCAAGAUUUUCAGUUGCACAAGAGCAUUCAGAAACAUCCAUUUUGCCUGAUUUUUGGUUUGACAAGGAUGAAAACGUCGGCAUUGGAGUCGUGGCCGUGGCAGGGAAGGCGAACCCAGCGCAGCUCUGCCAGUGGCUCAAGAGGAAGAUAAGCAAGGAUGUCAAGAUUUUCCGCCAUUGUCCACACGGGCUGAGAAUUGUAAUAAGCAGGUAUGCAUCCCUCUUGUCUACUUGUACUGCAGAAUGAAGGAUGAUGUGUGUAAUAUCCAAAUGAAUGUACGUUAUUACGAAGGGCUAGCCGUGUGGGGUUAAGGUGCUUGCCGGCGGCGACCUGCGUGGCUCUCAGCCUGCAUCCUCGCUGAACUCAACACCAACUAUCGCGCGCCUGCGAUGUGACUGCUGUUGCAACAACGACGGCCAACGGCUAUUGAACGACGAGGAUGCCCUUCGGGGUUAUAGCAUGCAAAGCAAAGCAGUUGCUCGAUCCUCACAGCCAAUAUAUCUCCGUGUAGAAGCAGAAGAAGCAACAAUUGAUUCGUAAGCAGCAAUUUUAUCUGUUUCAUUCCUUUGUAUUUUUGCCCUCUGUUUCUGCUGAAUGUAUGUAUCACUUUUUUCAGAUAUAUUGAUCUUCACAUUCUUAGUUGGCAUCCAUAGUGGUUUUAGUUGUACACAUAGCCGUUCUCAGUUGGAUACGACAAUUAGAAAAUUGCACAACACUAAACCUUUUUCCUACGGCGGUGAAAGUGGAACGGUAUACAUUGAACUGAAUACACAUGGCGUUCAUUUUUUUGGCAUUUAUAGUAAUUCUUGUUGCACACAUAGUUGUUUUCGUCGGAGACGAUCAUUACUAUAGUAGUUGUAGUUGCACAUACAGUUGUUCUCAGUUGGAUCCUAUUAUUGAAAAAUUGCACACAUGGCAAUCAUUUUUUAUUGGCAUCUAUAGUAGUUUUAGUUGCACACAUAGUUGUUUUCAGUUGGACACGAUUAUUGGGAAGUUACACACACGGUGAUCAUUUUUGUUAGCAUCUAUAGUAGUUCUAAUUGCACACAUAUUUGUUCUCAAUUGGAUACGAUCAUUGGAAAGUUGCACACACGGCGACCAUUUUUUGUUGGCAUCUAUAGUACUUCUAGAUAUUAUGCACAUAAUUGUUCUUAGUUAGAUACGGUCAUUCGGAAGUUACACACACGGUGAUCAUUUUUUGUUGGCAUCUACAGUAGUUCUAGUUGCACACAUAGUUGUUUUUAGUUGGACACGAUCAUUGGAAAGUUGCACACACGGCGAUCAUUUUUGGGUGGCAUCUAUAGUAGUUCUAGUUGCACACAUAGUUGUUUUCAGUUGGAUACGGUCAUUGGAAAGUUGCACACACGGCAAUCAUUUUUUGUUGGCAUCUAUAAUAGUUCUAGUUGCACACAUAGUUGUUUUCAGUUGGACACGGUCAUUAGAAGUAGUUGGCAGGGGCAAUAGAAGUAGUUGCACAGAAUCUGCUAGUCAAAACUUCACGGUGGCGAAAGAUUCCUCUUAGUAAAACUGCAAAGAAGAAAGGCGCGCGCGGAGGCAGUAUCCAAAGGGGUAGAUGCCACAUCUUCUGCAGCAGCCGCUGUGGUAACAUAAAGUUCCAUCAGGAAUAUUUUUUUACUCCACAUACAGGCAGCCAAGUGUAUGAAUUUUCAUACAUGAUUGCAGAAGGACUAAUUAAGCAUUGGCAUGCUCAACUUUCCCAGUUGCUCAACGUUGCCAUCUUCAAGUUUUUUAGAAUUGUCCCAAGAGUAUGUAACGACUUGGCAUUCUCAGACUUUCUAGUUGCAGAAUAGUAUCUAAUUAGUUGGCAACCUCAGUAAUUCUAGUUGCACAACAAUAUAUAACUAGUUGACAUCCUCAUCUUUUCUAGUUGCACAAAAACUCAGAUUAGUCCCAUCUUAAAAAAAUUGAGGAUUUCCCUACAGUAUGUAACGACUUGGCACCCUCAGGCUUUCUAGUUGCAGAAGAGUAUCUAUUUAGUUGGCACCCUCGGCAAUUCUAAUUGGACAACAUUAUCCAAGUAGUUGACAUCCUCAGCCUCUCUAGUUGCAUAAGAAUUCAGAUUUAUCCCAUCUUAAAAUUUUUGAGGAUUGCCCAACGGUAUCUAAUCACUUGGCACCCUCAGGAUUUCUAGUUGCAGAAGAGUAUCUAUUUAGUUGGCACCCUCUACAAUUCUAGUUGGACAACAUUAUUCAAGUAGUUGUCAUCCUCAGCCUCUCUAGUUGCACAAGAAUAUCUCAUUAGUUGGCAUCAUCAGCAUUUCUAGUCGCACAAGAAUUUCUCAUUAGUUGUCAUCACCAGCAUUUCUAGUUGCAGAACAAACAUGAUAUCAAGUUGCCAUCCUCAACAUUUUAAUCUAGUUUUCCAGAGAACAAAUAUUUGUAUGUAAUGAUAACUAAUCACCUUUGCCUUUUUUUGCAAACCGCGAGAUAUUGUUCAAGGAAAUGAGAGUAAUGAAGCAGAUAAUGUUGAACGAUAGUCACAAGCUGGCUACCUGAUGGAGACUACUCUGGAUACCUGAUGUUUGAGUUGGAUAGAAUACCUGUUUUAGUUGGCUAUAAUACUCUGGAUACCUGAUGCAUUUUUUUCACCCCUGGAUAUGUUUGUUUGCAGACAUCCAUGUGAAAGUUGGUUUCAAACAAUGGUUUUCUUGCACAGGGAACUGAAUUUCUUAUGCUUUUACUUGAUCUUCCUUCUCUGCUCAAAAUCAUGGAGUUUUUUUUACUUGAUUUGGGAGAUUCAG
rnacentral:lncRNA from 1 species